ACCCGCUGAACUUAAGCAUAUCAAUAAGCGGAGGAAAAGAAACCAACAGGGAUUGCCCUAGUAACGGCGAGUGAAGCGGCAACAGCUCAAAUUUGAAAUCUGGCUCUUUUAGAGUCCGAGUUGUAAUUUGCAGAGGGCGCUUUGGCUUUGGCAGCGGUCCAAGUUCCUUGGAACAGGACGUCACAGAGGGUGAGAAUCCCGUACGUGGUCGCUGGCUAUUGCCGUGUAAAGCCCCUUCGACGAGUCGAGUUGUUUGGGAAUGCAGCUCUAAAUGGGAGGUACAUUUCUUCUAAAGCUAAAUAUUGGCCAGAGACCGAUAGCGCACAAGUAGAGUGAUCGAAAGAUGAAAAGCACUUUGGAAAGAGAGUCAAACAGCACGUGAAAUUGUUGAAAGGGAAGCGCUUGCAGCCAGACUUGCUUACAGUUGCUCAUCCGGGCUUUUGCCCGGUGCACUCUUCUGUAGGCAGGCCAGCAUCAGUUCGGGCGGUAGGAUAAAGGUCUCUGUCACGUACCUCUCUUCGGGGAGGCCUUAUAGGGGAGACGACAUACUACCAGCCUGGACUGAGGUCCGCGCAUCUGCUAGGAUGCUGGCGUAAUGGCUGU
rnacentral:rRNA from 1 species